AAAAGUUCAAGGUCUCGCAUUCCUCGUCUUAUUGCUUUCCUGAGCAGGUUCUCAUUUUAAUCAGACUUACGGAAUAAGUACUACUGUCCUCAGUGUGGGGAUGUGGAAACUGAGAUGUCUUCAGCUUCAUCUUUAAACGUAUGGAUUUGGACACUGUCGCUCCAGAACUCUUCGGGAGAGAUAAGACACGUCGAAUCUUUGAUCGCUUCUGGAGCUGUUUGAGAAGAGCCCUGCUCCCGUUUUCCCUCUGGUGCUGAGGGAAACCACGACAGCUCUCCUUGAAAUAAAGCCCAAAUACGGGAAGCUCACAGGUGGGACUAGGUGAGGGAACUGGAGGAUAACAGCGAGAGGGUUGGGAAGCUCUACCAGCUGUUUUUGGUCACAUUCACUGGUUUUUGUGAUGGGCUCUUCCUGAAUACCUGCUUCAGUCCGGGCUCAGAGCAGGUGGUGAGGGGAGGUUGGGUGCUGAGGCCGUGAAGGCCUCACAGAUCGUGUAUGAU
ensembl:lncRNA